GGAUGUGAGGGCAAUCUGGCUGGGUCGUCUGUCACCUCAUUGAUUGCCAGGAUUAACUCUGCUGAUCUGGCUGGCUAGGCGGGUAUCUCUAUCCUCCCCCACCAUGCCAUCCGUGUCCCUCCCGAAGGCGCAAACUAUACAGAGAGAUUCCUUUCUCUGUAUAAUUUCCUCUAUAUUUUAUACAUUUUAUUGUGCUCCAUGAGUGGAGGAAGAGGAGGAGGAAGAGGAGGACCUUCCCUGAUAGAGGAGGACCGUUCUUCCCUCAGGAGUAGCCACACUCCCCUGCUAGAACCUCCAAACAAGCUCUCAAGGUCCAUUUGUAGGAGAACGUAGGACAGUCAGGCUUCUAAGACUCCAGAUACAUCCCAAUGAGGUGCUGCAUGUGGCAGUCUGCCUUUCUCU
rnacentral:snRNA from 1 species